rnacentral:rRNA from 1 species
UACAGAGGUCUCAAGCGUUGUUCGGAUUCAUUGGGCGUAAAGGGUGCGUAGGCGGCGCGGUAAGUCGGGUGUGAAAUCUCGGGGCUUAACUCCGAAACUGCAUUCGAUACUACCGUGCUUGAGGACUGGAGAGGAGACUGGAAUUUACGGUGUAGCGGUGAAAUGCGUAGAUAUCGUAAGGAAGACCAGUGGCGAAGGCGGGUCUCGGGACAGUUCCGGACACUGAGGCACGAAGGCCAGGGGAGCAAACGGG